GUGUCAGCCGCCGCGGUAAUACGGAGGAUGCGAGCGUUAUCCGGAUUUAUUGGGUUUAAAGGGUGCGUAGGCGGAUAAAUAAGUCAGUGGUGAAACCCUGCAGCUUAACUGUAGACUUGCCAUUGAUACUGUUUAUCUUGAGUUUGGUCAAGGCAGGCGGAAUGUGUAAUGUAGCGGUGAAAUGCUUAGAUAUUACACAGAACACCGAUUGCGAAGGCAGCUUGCUGGGCCGACACUGACGCUGAUGCACGAAAGCGUGGGGAUCGAACAGGAUUAGAUACCCUGGUAGUCCACGCCGUAAACGAUGAUCACUAGCUGUUGGCGAUACACAGUCAGCGGCAAAGCAAAAGCAUUAAGUGAUCCACCUGGGGAGUACGGCCGCAAGGCUGAAACUUAAAGGAAUUGACGGGG
rnacentral:rRNA from 1 species